GGAUGCCUAGGAAUGGAUUUCUGCAUGAUAUUUCAAGAACAUUGGAAAACAGGAAAGCGAAUAUACCUGCACUUAGGAAGCUUUUACUAUUCUUUCUCAUUUUAUAAAUGCUUUCAGAAAUAAUUCCAUAGUCGGAAAUGAAGUAUUAACUUUUAACUUUUAAUUGUUUACAUCAAAAGAAUAUCAGUGCUAGCAAGGCAGUCACACAGUUUCCCCUUUUUAUUUUGUUUCAAUUGUUAAUAUUCAAUUUUGG
rnacentral:misc_RNA from 1 species